CCUACGGGAGGCAGCAGUGGGGAAUAUUGCACAAUGGGGGAAAGCCUGAUGCAGCGAUGCCGCGUGGAGGAAGAAGGUCUUCGGAUUGUUAACUCCUUUUUUCAGGGACGAUAAUGACGGUACCUGAAGACAAAGCUCCGGCUAACUACGUGCCAGCAGCCGCGGUAAUACGUAGGGAGCGAGCGUUGUCCGGAAUUACUGGGUGUAAAGGGAGCGUAGGCGGGAUGUCAAGUCAGAUGUGAAAACUGAGGGCUCAACUUUCAGACUGCAUCUGAAACUGCUGUUCUUGAGUGAAGUAGAGGUAAGCGGAAUUCCUAGUGUAGCGGUGAAAUGCGUAGAUAUUAGGAGGAACCUCGGUGGCGAAGGCGGCUUACUGGGCUUUUACUGACGCUGAUGCUCGAAAGCGUGGUGAGCAAACAGGAUUAGAUACCCUUGUAGUC
rnacentral:rRNA from 1 species